rnacentral:misc_RNA from 1 species
UCCGGUCCCACCCCCUUUUUUGUUAUAUUCUCUCCGUCACCCCCGCACAAACCCACGGUGAGUGACACGCGCAUCCAUAUACACGAACGCGUGGGAGCCUGCCUGCGCCAAGCACCUACACACGCCACUCGCGCUGAAGCAUCUGACGACGCGGCGCGGUGCUUGCUGCUGUAGACAUCGCUGGUGAUUGCAAUUGGAAAAGCUGAACCGGGUCGCUGCUGUCUCCACUUCACGUGCCAGGCUAACGGAGUGCACACGGGUAAGCGAGCGGUUUGCUAUCACAGCACUGCUACACCCAUUGACAUAGGGAGUUAUAGGCACAAGCGAGAACAAGCUGAGUAAUAAACAGUGUGCUGACGGACUAGGGGAUGCGUGUGAGUGGAGUCGCACGGACCGGUCUUCGCCAUGUCACCUGCUCGGUGGCCGGCCACGCUCUUGCAUUCGGCGCCACAGCCGCUGUUGCGGCGUCUACCGCCCCGCUCCUGACGCAGGCCCGCUAUGCGAGCAGCAAGAACCCGUACACGGUGCUCGGCAUCAAGCAAGGUGCUGACAAGGCAGAAAUCAAGAAGGCGUACCGUGUCCUGGCCCGCAAGCACCACCCUGAUGCCCCGGGCGGCAGCGACGAAAGAUUCCGUGAAGUGCAGGAGGCGUAUGAGCAAAUAAAAAGUGGGGUGUGGGUCCGAAAAGACCAGGAGGGCAGCGGCAGCGACGGCGCUGGCGGCAACGCGAACCGCUACAGCGGCUUCCGCUACACGACCCGCACGCACCACAAGAGCAAGGUCAGCUACGACCAAUUUUACGAGGAGAUGCACACGGGCCGGGUGAAGAAGGAUCCGUUUGCGGACGACGACGAGGCAGAGGAUCCGGCGGCGAAGGACCCGCGCCGAAACCCUUUCGCAAUGAACGAGAUCGCUUUCCAGGCGUGGCUGCGCUUUAUCAUUAUGUGGUGUGUCGUCUUCUGUAGUCUUCGCCUUGUGCUUUUUUUGAUGUUCCCACCCAAGUGGGAGAAGCCACAGCGCAAGCCACCACCGCGCGAGCUGCGUGGCCGCAAGCCGCCACCGCCGAAGCCACUAAGACUCUCCGAGGAUGCGAUUGUAGCGUAGUUAUGGCUGGGCUAUCCGUAGGGGGGGGGCUUGUGGCUGUUUGUUUUGGAGCUGCUGCGGUACAGGCAGCGUUUCCAUGUGCGUGUGUGCGUGUGACUGCGUGAGAGCGGCGCUCUAACCCGUACGCACGAAGCGAUAGGUGAACGAAUCCGCCACCUGGAGCUGGCGCCUCUGUCUCCGACCUGCGAUUGGGCCUCAUGUGCCAAGGGCGGCACUCGGUAUGUGUUGCGUACGCCGCGCAGGUGCGUUCUAGUACACGCCACACUUUCCCCGGAACUCUCGUGCCUUUUUGUGGCGAAACAGUGAGCACGACGCUGUGCGCGCUCGGGUGUGCGCCAUCGCUUCUCUCUCGCUCCCGCGUCGCCGCUCUCGGGCAUUCUUGUUUUCGACCCUUUUUUCACCUUGACUCUUGCUGUCAUUGCUGAUGCGGUAGGCCGUGAAUGUGCGUUUGUGUGCACGGGCUUGCUCCGGUGGUUUUCUUGUUCUCAUCGGCCGUUCUACUCACAUCAACGCUAUCUUUUGGCGUUACUCUUGGUCGUGAUGUCGCGUUGUCCUACGGUGCCUGUGUUAGUGUCUCUCUCUGUGCGUGUGGAUGGAUGGAUGGAUGGAUGUCUCCUCUCACAUGUACACACAACGCUGUCCACUUGUCUAUCUUGUGUUAUUAACGCUUUUAUGCACGCACU